rnacentral:rRNA from 1 species
AACGCUGGCGGCGUGCUUAACACAUGCAAGUCGAACGAUGAAGCCCUUCGGGGUGGAUUAGUGGCGAACGGGUGAGUAACACGUGGGCAAUCUGCCCUUCACUCUGGGACAAGCCCUGGAAACGGGGUCUAAUACCGGAUAUCACUCCUGCCUGCAUGGGCGGGGGUCGAAAGCUCCGGCGGUGAAGGAUGAGCCCGCGGCCUAUCAGCUUGUUGGUGAGGUAAUGGCUCACCAAGGCGACGACGGGUAGCCGGCCUGAGAGGGCGACCGGCCACACUGGGACUGAGACACGGCCCAGACUCCUACGGGAGGCAGCAGUGGGGAAUAUUGCACAAUGGGCGGAAGCCUGAUGCAGCGACGCCGCGUGAGGGAUGACGGCCUUCGGGUUGUAAACCUCUUUCAGCAGGGAAGAAGCGAAAGUGACGGUACCUGCAGAAGAAGCGCCGGCUAACUACGUGCCAGCAGCCGCGG